rnacentral:tRNA from 1 species
GGAGGGGUGGCCGAGCGGUCAAUGGCAGCAGACUGUAAAUCUGCCGGGCGACGCCCUACGAAGGUUCGAAUCCUUCCCCCUCCACCA